ACUUAUUUCAUCAGACUGCAAAUCUUUAUUUUUGGCCUACAUUCAGUCCUUAUGGCAACGCCACUGGGACACUCUGGACCAAAACAAGUUAUAUGCCACCCUUCCCUGUCUUUCCGACCGCCUACCUUCUUGCCGCCCUACGAGACGGGAGGAGGUAGUUCUUACAAGAUUAAAGAUAGGACACACCUAUGCCACGCAAGGACACCUCUUACGAGGUGAACCGCCACCUGUUUGUCCCUGGUGUGGGGACAAUUUUACUGUUAUACACUUUUUGAUUAUCUGUCCAAAGCUUCAGACUAUUCGUUGUCAAUUGUUUACAGAAAAAUCUUUAUUUUCGUUAUUUAGGUCCGUCCCAUCGGCGCAAUCUUUUCCUUUUUAAAGGGAAUAGGGCUGUAUUAUCAAAUUAAGAAUUUUAAUAUCUCUUUUGUUUUUGAUGUGAUAGUAACCUUUUUGGGCUCAACACCCCUUUUAAUGCUUUCCCACUCUUUUUUACAUUCUGGUUACUUAUUAUGUUGACCUUUAAAAAUAUAUCAUGUUUAUAAGAAUUAGGAAGUUUAAACCUUCAAUGUUACAACUACUUUUUGCCAUCAUUUAGCCAUAGUUGCUAUCAUGUCAUAAAACACAAACAAACAACAAGCACCCAAAAUGGGCCGGUGUAGAGCUUGGGUCAGUGAGUCAUGAAUAUGAGCUACAAGAGUUGUAACUGACUGCAUAAUGGAAACUAAUAUUAUAAAUUAUAUGUAUAUUGUAAUAAUAUAUGAAUUAGAAUAGUAAUUGCUUGGCCCUUUUUGUUUAUACUAUAAAUUUAUAAGAAAAAAUUAAUGCAUUGUGACAUGAUUUCAUGAAACUAAUUAUCAAUUUUAGUCACUUAUUGUCUCUUUACUGCAAACUUACUAGUAGAAAAUAAAAGGUAUGCUAGCUUGAAGUCGGAGACAAAUACUUGGAGAGAAAAAAAGGGAAAAGAUUGGUAACCACUAAAUAUAUUUUAAAAGCCCUCAUCAAAUGUUUAAAUAUGUACAUGUAUAAAGAAAAGCUCAACCAAAUUUUAGGCCUGUAUCACAUGUCAAUUUAAAGUUAUAAGAAUCUGAAGUAAAACAAACUGUAACAUAAAAAGAAACGGAAAAAAAAACAAGAAAAGAAAGUAAAAGUUUAUUAACUUAGUUUUAUCUAAGCCUUUCAUGUAAUUUACCUGUUAAAUGAAAAAUAUAACCAUCUUUUAAUGCGUUACUUCAUGUAAUCAUUUUAUGAGUUAUGUUAUUUUCACUUUUAAAAAUGUCAGUAUAGCUGCAUGUGUUGUGUACCUAAAUGUUAACUAGGCUUCAAAGAAAUACACAGUAAUUUAAAAAAUGGUGUUUGCAAACACUGAGCUACACAGUUAUAGGUUUAGUUAAAUAAAGGUUCGGUGUCCACUAGCUUCAUGGGUUUUUGAUCUUUGGUCUUGUGCUGUCUAACAUUUAGUGAUGCUGUCUCACAUAUUGCUUCCACUUUUUGUGAACAUCUACUGAAGUAGCAGCAUCAGUAAGAAAUACGCUCAUCUUUCUUAGCCUUCAGUUGCAGGGUGAUGGGAUGAGCAUCAACAUAUAAUUCUUUCAUUAAGGAAAUUAUUUUAAAAGCUUCUUCAUUAAAGAUACAAACUGCACACGGAACUAAACACUCAGGAAAAGCACCAAGCCACACCCUAAAACACCUUUCAGCCCUUCAAAGUCCCACUCUAAAAACACCUCUCAGCCCUACAAAGCCCCACUCCGAAACCUAAUUAACUUUUACCUUGUCCCAUUUUCCUUCUAAGCACCAUUGGCACAAGUCCACUAAGUACAAAAUUUCUUACUCAACUUUAAGACUGCUCUCCCCCAGGUAUAAACCUUUACUUAGCUGAGUCGGGUGACUUAAGUUUGCACAUUUUUUAUUAUUAAACAAUACAUAUUCAAAACAUAACAAAAACUACCGCACACAUCAGUUUACAUAAAUAGAUUAACAAACAUAUCUCAGACAAUCUACACAAAUCUUUCCUCCACCUCAUCAUACCCUACCCUAUGAAAGGACCAGCAUAGGUUGUAGUGGUUUGUCUUUAACUUUUAGUUGUAGCCAACACAAAUACCGAUAGCUUUCAACACACAUCAAUAAAUAACACAUAUUUCAGGCAGUUCGCACAUUUCAACCUUACACUGAACUUAUACUUAUGUAUAAACUUAUGACAUUAGCUACAUUGAGCAUAGCACCCACAUAUAUUAUCUUCACGUUAUACAAAUUCAAAUCGGGGAAGGAAAACAUGUCUAUUCACAAAACAUUUUUCAAGUAGGUAUAGGGUAUCCAGACUACGAAGAGACAUAAGGGAUAUGAAUUUUUCACAGCUACAUAACAAUAUAAGUAUACAUAACAAACAAGCAAUAUUUUACAAUAUACCAACAUAAAAAACAAACAUAUACACAUAAAUUAACAAACAUUU